AUACGGAAGGUCCGGGCGUUAUCCGGAUUUAUUGGGUUUAAAGGGAGCGCAGGCGGAGAUGCAAGCGUGACGUCAAAUUUCGGGGCUCAACCCCGUCUCGCGUCGCGAACUGCGUCCCUUGGUUGCGGGAAGGGGAGGCGGAACUCGUGGUGUAGCGGUGAAAUGCAUAGAUAUCACGAAGAACUCCGAUCGCGAAGGCCGCCUUCCGGCCCGUCAACGACGCUCAUGCUCGAAGGUGCGGGUAUCAAACAGGAUUAGAGAUCCUGGUAGUCCUCACAGUAAACGAUGGACACCCGCGGUUUGGCCUAUAUGGCUGAGCCGCCAAGCGAAAGCGUUAAGUGUCCCACCUGGGGAGUACGCCGGCAACGGUGAAACUCAAAUGAAUUGACGGGG
rnacentral:rRNA from 1 species